AUGAACUGGGAGGGACUGGGAGGGACUGGGAGGGACUGGGAUCAAACUGGGAGGGACUGGGAUCAAACUGGGAGGGACUGGGAGGGACUGGGAUCAAACUGGGAGGGGUUACUGGGUAGGAUUGGGGGUUACUGGUUUAUACUGGGAGCACUGGGAGCCAAACUGGGUCAUACUGGGACCACUGGGAUCUAUACUGGGAGCACUGGGAGCCAUACUGGGAGCACUGGGAGCCAAACUGGGAAUACUGGGAGAGGGUUUGGGUCAUACUGGUCCAUACUGGGAGCACUGGGAGGGGUCACUGGUUCAUACUGGGAGCACUGGGAGCCAUACUGGGAAUACUGGGAGAGGGUUGGGGCCAUACUGGUCCAUACUGGGAACACUGGGAGGGGUCACUGGUUCAUACUGGGAGCACUGGGAGCCAAACUGGGAGCACUGGGAGGGGUCACUGGUUUAUACUGGGAGCACUUAGAGCCAAACUGGGAAUACUGGUUUGUACUGGGAGCACUGGGAGGGGGUUUGGGGUCAAACUGGGAGCACUGGGAGCGGUUACUGGUUCAUACUGGGAGCACUGGGAGCCAUACUGGGAAUGCUGGGAGAGGGUUGGGGCCAUACUGGUCCAUACUGGGAGCACUGGGAGGGGUCACUGGUCCAUACUGGGAGCACUGGGAUGGGGUUUGGGUCAUACUGGUCCAUACUGGGAGCACUGGGAGGGGUCACUGGUCCAUACUGGGAGCACUGGGAGCCAUACUGGGAGCGGUUACUGGUUCAUACUGGGAGCACUGGGAGCGGUUACUGGUCCAUACUGGGAGCACUGGGAGCCAUACUGGGAGCACUGGGAGAGGGUUUGGGUCAUACUGGUCCAUACUGGGAGCACUGGGAUGGGGUUUGGGGUCAUACUGGGAGCACUGGGAGAGGGUUUGGGUCAUACUGGUCCAUACUGGGAGCACUGGGAGGGGUCACUGGUUCAUACUGGGAGCACUGGGAGCGGUUACUGGUUCAUACUGGGAGCACUGGGAGCCAAACUGGUCCAUACUGGGAGCACUGGGAGGGGUCACUGGUCCAUACUGGGAGCACUGGGAGGGGUCACUGGUCCAUACUGGGAACACUGGGAUGGGGUUUGGGGUCAUACUGGGAGCACUGGUUUGUACUGGGAGAGGGUUUGGGCCAUACUGGUCCAUACUGGGAACACUGAGAGGGGUCACUGGUCCAUACUGGGAGCACUGGGAGCCAAACUGGUCCAUACUGGGAGCACUGGGAGCCAAACUGGUCCAUACUGGGAACACUGGGAUGGGGUUUGGGGCCAUACUGGGAGCACUGGUUUGUACUGGGAGAGGGUUUGGGCCAUACUGGUCCAUACUGGGAGCACUGGGAGGGGUUGUUGGGAUAUACUGGGAGAUUUUGUACUGGUCUGUACUGGUUUAUACUGGUUUAUACUGGUCUGUACUGGUGUGAACUGGUUUAUACUGGUCUAUACUGGUUUAUACUGGUUUAUACCAGUUCAUACUGGUCUGUACUGGUUUAUACUGGUUUAUACUGGUCCAUACUGGUUUAUACUGGUGUGAACUGGUUUAUACUGGUGUGAACUGGUUUAUACUGGUUUAUACUGGUCCAUACUGGUUUAUACCAGUUCAUACUGGUUUAUACUGGUCCAUACUGGUCCAUACUGGUCCAUACCGGUCCAUACUGGUUUAUACUGGUUCAUACUGGUCCGUACUGGUCCAUACUGGUCCAUACUGGUUUAUACUGGUCCAUACUGGUUUAAACUGGUCCAUACUGGUCCAUACUGGUUUAUACUGGUCCAUACUGGUCCAUACCAGUCCAUACUGGUUUAUACUGGUUCAUACUGGUCCGUACUGGUCCAUACUGGUCCAUACUGGUUUAUACCGGUCCAUACUGGUCCAUACUGGUUUAUCCUGGUCCAUACUGGUCCAUACUGGUUUAUACCGGUCCAUACUGGUCCAUACUGGUUUAUCCUGGUCCAUACUGGUCCAUACUGGUCCAUACUGGUUUAUACCAGCUCAUACUGGUCCAUACUGGUUUAUACUGGUCCAUACUGGUUUAUACUGGUUUAAACUGGUCCAUACUGGUCCAUACUGGUUUAUCCUGGUCCAUACUGGUCCAUACUGGUCCAUACUGGUCCGUACUGGUCCAUACUGGUCCAUACUGGUCCAUACUGGUUUAUACUGGUCCAUACUGGUCCAUACUGGUCCAUACUGGUUUAAACUGGUCCGUACUGGUCCCCCAGGCCAUGCCCGACCCCCGCCUGGACCGGGGCCGCUUUCCCUCCCUCCGCCUCACGGGGGCGCCGCGGGCCCCGCCCCCCUCGGGCCGCCGCGCGGGGCUGUGGCGCCGCCUGGCGGCCGCGGGCGGGAACUGCGGCUGCUGCGGCUGCUGCGGGCGGAGCGGCGGCGGCGGCGGAGAGUGGGAACCGAUCCCGGGAGAGACGCCGGGACGGAGAACGGCGCAGCCAGUGCGGCCAGGUAAGGGUUAAACACCGGGGGGAUUUUGGGGGGGCUCCGGUAACGGAGAGGUGCGGCCAUGUUU
ensembl:lncRNA